CAGUAUCAACACCAGGACCAACGACAAAAAUACAAGUAGUAAUAUUAUAUACAAAGAUUCAAACCGAGGAAGAAAUAUACAAGGUGGCGAAAGGUGAUCAAUUUUGUGCCCGGCGAGGGGAGAACCGCCGGGUGCUGGGCCGAAAGGUGAUCAAUUUUGUGCCCGGCGAGGGGAGAACCGCCGGGUGCUGGGCCGAAAGGUGAUCAAUUUUGUGUCCGGCGAGGGGAGAACCGCCGGGUGCUGGGCCGAAAGGUGAUCAAUUUUGUGCCUGGCGGGGGGAGAACCGCCGGGUGCUGGGCCGAAAGGUGAUCAAUUUUGUGCCUGGCGAGGGGAGAACCGCCGGGUGCUGGGCCGAAAGGUGAUCAAUUUUGUGUCCGGCGAGGGGAGAACCGCCAGGGGUGGGUUUCAUCAAAGUUCCCAAGUCCUUGGAAGUGUGCUCAAGGAGUCCCAAGCGUGCGAGAAACCUUGGGCAUGUUUCACGAAAGCUCCCAAGCCUUGGAACUCUGCCUAUCUCGCUCGCCGCCUUGGGAGGCCGUGCGGGGUCUCCCAAGCGUUCCCAAGGAAGGUUCCAAGCGUCAGACUGUAAACAUGGCAGCCCGUGAACAACCCCGCCAGCACCGACCAAGGAAUUUUCGCCCGAGAAGGGACAUCUUUAACGAGUACGAUGACACCGAGUUCAAGAAGAGGUACAGGGUGGAUCGUGCUGGCCUGUUGUUCGUCACUGACUUGGUGCGACACGUGAUUGGCAACAGGACUGAGAGGAGCCGUGCGGUCACAGCGGAGCUGAAAGUGGCGUUGACUCUGCGAUACCUCGCCACCGGGAAAAUGCAGCAGUGCAGCGCAGAUGACUUUGGAGUUUCCCGGGAUCGGGUGAUCAAUUUUGUGCCCGGCGAGGGGAGAACCGCCGGGUGCUGGGCCGAAAGGUGAUCAAUUUUGUGCCAGGCGUGGGGAGAACCGCCGGGUGCUGGGCCGAAAGGUGUUGAAUUUUGUGCCUGGCGGGGGGAGAACCGCCGGGUGCUGGGCCGAAAGGUGUUGAAUUUUGUGCCUGGCGGGGGGAGAACCGCCGGGUGCUGGGCCGAAAGUUCGCGGGGGCGGGUAUCUGCUACGUCGCUAAAAGCCAAGGGCAUACGUUAAGAGGCAACCCGCGACGUGCAGGGCCACUACAUAUAGGGCAGCUCCGCCCAGCAAGCGUGCCGUGUUGUGUUUACGACGGGGCCCGGUGGACGGGGAGGGCGUGGAAGGCUUGGACUGGGGCCCCCCACCCUCGGCAGGGGGGUGAGGAGGCACUGAGGUGGUCACCGUCGGGGUGGUCGGCGUCAGUGAGGGGCCGGACUCGGUCGGGGGCGUGUGUUUGCAGGCCACGGCGGGAACACUGGAGCUGGCUGCUUGCGACGGUACGGGGCGCUCGAACCUCAACACUAGCUCCCCCUCCUGGCCACGACCGACGCCGACAACCUUGAACCCAGGCGGCAGGGUCACUCGAGCCUUGUUCUCGGAAACUUGGAAAUCCAUCACUGUAAGCGUAAAGCAUAAAAAAAAAACUUAAGGAACAGCGGCCGAGAGGAAUUGUUGAGAAAGGGGCUCGUAGUUUUGGAAUGGGCGCGAGGGUGUGCUUGAGGGCAUGUUAGAGUGGGAGGGAGACUGCGCCGGGGCCCAUUAUAUCCUCUAACAUUUUGGGGCUUGCACACCCACAUUUGCUGAGGCUUACGUUGAGGUUAUACGUAUUUCCCUGGUUAGUAUUAUGAGCCUGGUAAUAGUUUGACGAGGCAUCUGCACCAUGAACGUGAACAACAGCCAUGAGAACCCGACUAACCUCCUUUGUGGCCUUUGAAAAUGAUUGUUCUGAGAGCCGAAAGCGUCUGAGUACACGAUCCCUGGUAGAGAAGGGGAGGCAGUAGAGUGACGAGGAGAGGAUGGAAGAGGAAGGAGAGAACGAGAGGGUGGGAGGGAGGCGGGGAGAGAAAAAUAUAUACAAACGGGGCAGACAGAUAGUUCCCCCUUGAUCAGAUGUUCUUAAAGUAGUGCCUCAAUACCCCCAGUUGGUAGCGAAACCGGUUCUUGGGGGUAUACAAAAAGGCAUCCUGGAGAAUAUUAAAUUAAUAAUUCCGUGAACUGAAUGGUGAGUGUGACUAACUGGCUCCUUGGAUCCGUCAACCCUACCUUGCAAUAAUGGAUGAUGAAGAUGACCUCGAGGUCCAGGAGAACAUGGUUGAGUUACGACUCGACGAAGGGGUGAAAACUGCUUCUGAAGCCCUGCCGUUGAUACAAUUUUGGGUAAAGCAGAUCCGGGCUUUCCCGAAACUAACAUUGAAGGUGUUCUUACCGUUCGCCACCACUUACUUAUGCGAGGUCGGGUUCUCCGUGUGACGCAGAUAAAACAAAGCAAAGACACAGACUGGCGGUCGAAUCUGACAUGCGUCUUGCACUGAGGCGGGUGGGCCCUAGAAUUGAGGCUUUGGUUGCUUCGAAAAGAGGAGCACAAGGCCCAGGCAGCUCACAGUUGAAAAAAAUAAUGAUGAAUGAGCUACGUUUUUUUACUAAUGUGGAAAACAAUCUGACA